UACGUAGGGUGCGAGCGUUAAUCGGAAUUACUGGGCGUAAAGCGUGCGCAGGCGGUUUGACAAGACAGGCGUGAAAUCCCCGGGCUUAACCUGGGAAUGGCGCUUGUGACUGUCAGGCUAGAGUAUGUCAGAGGGGGGUAGAAUUCCACGUGUAGCAGUGAAAUGCGUAGAGAUGUGGAGGAAUACCGAUGGCGAAGGCAGCCCCCUGGGACGUCACUGACGCUCAUGCACGAAAGCGUGGGGAGCAAACAGG
rnacentral:rRNA from 1 species